GAAUUGACGGGGGGCCCGCACAAGCGGUGGAGCAUGUGGUUUAAUUCGACGCAACGCGAAGAACCUUACCUGGCCUUGACAUGCAGAGAACUUUCCAGAGAUGGAUUGGUGCCUUCGGGAACUCUGACACAGGUGCUGCAUGGCCGUCGUCAGCUCGUGUCGUGAGAUGUUGGGUUAAGUCCCGUAACGAGCGCAACCCCUAUCCCUAGUUGCUAGCAGUUCGGCUGAGAACUCUAGGGAGACUGCCGGUGACAAACCGGAGGAAGGUGGGGAUGACGUCAGGUCAUCAUGGCCCUUACGGCCAGGGCUACACACGUGCUACAAUGGCGCGCACAGAGGGCUGCAAACCCGCGAGGGGGAGCUAAUCUCACAAAACGCGUCGUAGUCCGGAUCGGAGUCUGCAACUCGACUCCGUGAAGUCGGAAUCGCUAGUAAUCGUGAAUCAGAAUGUCACGGUGAAUACGUUCCCGGGCCUUGUACACACCGCCCGUCACACCAUGGGAGUGGAUUGCACCAGAAGUGGUUAGUCUAACCUUCGGGAGGACGAUCACCACGGUGUGGUUCAUGACUGGGGUGAAGUCGUAACAAGGUAGCCGUA
rnacentral:rRNA from 1 species